rnacentral:rRNA from 1 species
GACGAAGGUGGCGACCGUUGUUCGGAAUCACUGGGCCUAAAGAGCUCGUAGGCGGUGAGGAAAGUCGGGUGUGAAAUCCCUCGGCCCAACCGAGGAACUGCGCUCGAAACUGCCUUGCUUGAGGACGGAAGGGGACCACGGAAUUCCUGGUGGAGCGGUGAAAUGCGUUGAUAUCAGGAGGAACACCGGCGGCGAAGGCGGUGGUCUGGUCCGUUUCUGACGCUGAGGAGCGAAAGCUAGGGGAGCAAACGGG